GAGGAGCAACAAGCUGGAGUAGCUAGCAACUCGAGGGAUGAAGACUAGAUGAUGAUAGGCUUUCUCCUUCUGUGCCACUCAUAAAACUGCUAGCUAGCUAGCACCUUGUUGCCAAGCAAUGCAAGAUCUCUCUGCUGAGAUCGAUCUGAAUACCUAAAAUAUCUAUCCGACCGGUCAUCAUCUCGAUCUAAAGCAGAUUUCUGAUCCCAAGCUUGUUGGCUAACAUGGCGAAUGAUGAUGACCCUGUGGACGGCGAAAACCCUAGAUCUUUUACCGCAUCAAUGAUAACAAGAUGGCAAAAACAUUCGACGUGGUUUCAGCGCACGGCCAUCAGCUCAAAAUGGCGACCUUCCUCUUCUACGCAAACAAAACUAUCAUCAAAGCUUCGCACACAAGCUUGCAGGGGUCACAGUAUCAUCCUAGCCUAUGAACCGGUGUUAUCCUAAUUGAGCUUUUCUUUUCGUCAAAACAUCCUUGACCCCUCUUCCCUAGAGGUUGGCUCUUACCUCCGUUUUUCUGGUUUCUCGUGCCAGAAUUAACGUUCUUGACCUUGUAAGGCCCUCCUUCUAUGUCUACAUCCUCCUCGCACCUGAUGUUUCUUUCUUUCUUGUUACAUGCGGGAUCAGUCUCAUCAUUGCCAUGUUUGCCAGACUCCCGCGUCUACCUACUUUCUGCUCCAUUCUAUCCCUCCUGAGCUAGUUGUUGAUCCCAUGUAAUAAUAACCAUGUUUGGUUGAUAUAAAAAAAUGUUAGUUUUGUUUGGUGGCGUUGAAAUUAUUUCUAAUUUAUAGUAAGAGUAGUUCAGUUUGUGUUAUCUCCCUAUGGAUGCUAUGCAAUGCAUGGACACACAUAU
rnacentral:lncRNA from 7 species